rnacentral:rRNA from 1 species
GACGAACGCUGGCGGCGUGCCUAAUACAUGCAAGUCGAACGCAGUGGGGACGGGUGAGUAACACGUGGGUAACCUCCCAUCAGAGGGGAUAACACUUGGAAACAGGUGCUAAACCGAUACUGAUGGAUGGACACGCGGUGCAUUAGCUAGUUGGUGGGGUAAAGGCUCACCUAGGCUACGCUCUCUAGCUGGUCUGAGAGGAUGAUCAGCCACACUGGGACUGAGACACGGCCCAGACUCCUACGGGAGGCAGCAGGGGGGAAUAUUGCACAAUGGGCGCAAGCCUGAUGCAGCCAUGCCGCGUGUAUGAAGAAGGCCUUAGGGUUGUAAAUUACUUUCAGCGGAGAGGCAUUACCCGCAGAAGAAGCACCGGCUAACUCCGUGCCAGCAGCCGCGGUAAUAC